AAGCACAUGACGCUAUGUGUCUUGUUUAUCGCAUGUACCAUUUAUUGACAUUAAAUAACCCUCUCUGUCCUUUUUUUUUUUUUUUNNNNNNNNNNCUAUGAGAUAUCAUCUCACACCAGUAGAAUUGGCAAUCAUUAAAAAGUCAGGAAACAACAGGUGCUGGAGAGGAUGUGAGAAAAUAGGAACACUUUUACACUGUUGGUGGGACUGUAAACUAGUUCAACCAUUGUGGAAGUCAGUGUGGUGAUUCCUCAGGGAUCUAGAACUAGAAAUCCCAUUUCUCAUAGGUGGGAAUUGAACAAUGAGAUCACAUGGACACAGGAAGGGGAAUAUCACACUCUGGGGACUGUGGUGGGGAGGGGGGAGGGGGGAGGAAUAGCACUGGGAGAUAUACCUAAUGCUAGAUGACGAGUUAGUGGGUGCAGUGCACCAGCAUGGCACAUGUAUACAUAUGUAACUAACCUGCACAAUGUGCACAUGUACCCUAAAACUUAAAUCAAUUUGCAAUUUCAAUUUUUCUUUAAAAAAAUCCAUUGGACAUUUUAAACUUCCUUAGCUUAAAACUAAAAUAUCACUCACAAAAAUCUUCAUAUAUGAAGUUGGAUCGCUUUUCUUCUUAAUUUUCUGUGUCAGUUCUUUGAUGCAUUUAUUUUCACUCUUUUCUGUUAACAAUAUAAGGUCUUUAACUAUGAAUUUCUCUCUGGCACUAUUCCAUGAGCAACAAUACACAGUGUUCUUAUUGUUGUUAUAUCCUAAAUGAUCUGUAAUUGCAGCCUUAGUUUUCUCUUUGACCCAAGAGUUAUUUAGUAGAGUGUUAAAAUUCAAAAUGUUUGGGUUUGUUCGUUUGAACUUUUGCCAUUAAUUUUCUAUUGUAUUGUACUGUGGUCAGAGAGCAGAGCCUGUACAAGUUCUGCUUUUUGGAACUUACUGAGAUUUCCUUUGUGGACUAAUAUACAAUCAAUUUUUGUAAAUGUUUUAUGAGUACUUAGAGAAAAGAUAUAUUUUCUUUUGGUAGAGUACAAAAUUGA
rnacentral:lncRNA from 1 species